rnacentral:SRP_RNA from 1 species
GCCGGACGCGGUGGCGCGUGUCUGUAGUCCCAGCUAUUCGGGAGGCUGAGCUGGAGGAUCUCUUCGGGGUCCCAGGAGUUCUGGGCUGUAGUGCGCUAUGCCGAUCGGGUGUCCGCCACUUAAGUUCGGCAUCAAUAUGCGUGACCUCCCGGGAGCGGGGACCACCAGGUUGCCUAAGGAGGGGUGAACCGGCCCAGGUCGGAAACGGAGCAGGUCAAAACUCCCGUGCUGAUCAGUAGUGGGAUCGCGCCUGUGAAUAGCCACUGCACUCCAGCCUGGGCAACAUAGCGAGACCCUGUCUCU